rnacentral:rRNA from 1 species
UGAGUUAGUGGCGGACGGGUGAGUAACGCGUGAGCAAUCUGCCUUGUACUGGGGGAUAACGUCGAGAAAUCGGCGCUAAUACCGCAUAAUACUAUUAGAUCGCAUGGUCAUAUAGUCAAAACUCCGGUGGUACAAGAUGAGCUCGCGUCCAAUUAGCUAGUUGGUGAGGUAAUGGCCCACCAAGGCGACGAUUGGUAGCCGAACUGAGAGGUUGAUCGGCCACAUUGGGACUGAGACACGGCCCAGACUCCUACGGGAGGCAGCAGUGGGGAAUUUUGGGCAAUGGGGGGAACCCUGACCCAGCGACGCCGCGUGAGGGAAGACAGCCUUCGGGUUUUAAACCUCUUUUGUACGGGAAGAUAAUGACGGUACUGUACGAAUAAGUCCCGGCUAACUACGUGCCAGCAGCCGCGGUAAUACGUAGGGGACGAGCGUUGUCCGGAAUUACUGGGCGUAAAGGGCGCGCAGGCUGCGUUACAAGUCAGCUGUUAAAUGCAUGGGCUUACCCCAUGAGUGCGGUUGAAACUGUAGUGCUAGAGUACUGUAGAGGCAAGCGGAAUUCCCAGUGUAGCGGUGAAAUGCGUAGAUAUUGGGAGGAACACCGGUGGCGUAGGCGGCUUGCUGGACAGUAACUGACGCUGAGGCGCGAAAGCCAGGGGAGCAAACGGGAUUAGAUACCCCGGUAGUCCUGGCCGUAAACGAUGAAAACUAGGUGUGGGUGUAGCGAUACAUCUGUGCCGUAGUUAACGCGUUAAGCAUUCCGCCUGGGGAGGAGGAUCGCAAGAAAGAAAACUCAAAGGAAUAGACGGGGGAGUCACACAAGCGGUGGAUCACGUGGCUUAAUUCGACUUUAAGCGAGGAACCUUACCAAGGCGCGAAACUCUAAUGAAAUCCUUCCGAAAGGAAGGCCCUCCGAAAGGACAUUAGAGCAGGUGGUGCAUGGUUGUCGUCAGCAGGUGGCGUGAGUUGCUCCCUUAAAAGGGGAAACAUGCGCAACCCUUACCCUAUGUUUUAAAUGUCAUGGGGGGGGGCCUAGGACAACUAGGAGGAAGGGGAGGAGGACGGCAAAUCAGCAUGGCCCUCUGAUGCCUUGGGGGGCACACGUGAUACAAUGGAAAUGACAAAGGGGGGGUAAGAGGUAACUUGGAGCAAAUACCAUCAAACAUUUCCUCAAUUCGGAUUGAGGUGUGCAACCCGACCUCAUGAAGUCGGAAUCGCUAGUAACCGUAGAUCAGCCAUGCUACGGUGAAUAAGUCCCUGGGUCUUGUACUCACCGCCCGUCA